rnacentral:rRNA from 1 species
AUUGAACGCUGGCGGCAGGCUUAACACAUGCAAGUCGAACGGUAACAUAAAGAAGCUUGCUUCUUUGAUGACGAGUGGCGGACGGGUGAGUAAUGCUUGGGAAUCUAGCUUAUGGAGGGGGAUAACUACGGGAAACUGUAGCUAAUACCGCGUAAUAUCGAAAGAUUAAAGUGUGGGACCUUCGGGCCACAUGCCAUAGGAUGAGCCCAAGUGGGAUUAGGUAGUUGGUGAGGUAAAGGCUCACCAAGCCGACGAUCUCUAGCUGGUCUGAGAGGAUGACCAGCCACACUGGGACUGAGACACGGCCCAGACUCCUACGGGAGGCAGCAGUGGGGAAUAUUGCGCAAUGGGGGCAACCCUGACGCAGCCAUGCCGCGUGAAUGAAGAAGGCCUUCGGGUUGUAAAGUUCUUUCGGUAGCGAGGAAGGCAUUUAGUUUAAUAGACUAGGUGA